rnacentral:rRNA from 1 species
UUCGUAGGCGGUGUAGCAAGUUGGGAGUGAAAUCUCUGGGCUUAACCCAGAGGCUGCUUCCAAAACUGCUGUGCUUGAGUGUGGGAGAGGCGCGUGGAAUUGCAGGUGUAGCGGUGAAAUGCGUAGAUAUCUGCAGGAACACCCGUGGCGAAAGCGGCGCGCUGGACCACUACUGACGCUGAGGAACGAAAGCUAGGGAGCAAACA